AUUUGCAAUGUUUUCUGUUUAGAUAUUUUAUCUCAAAGCCAGAGACGCCGUCUUUGGCACAAACCCUUGCCCUCUCCGGACCUUCUCUGAAGAGAAAAUAGAGAAGAUCAAGAAGAGAGAGAGUAUAAGAGAAUCGUAGAUAGUGAGUGAUGGACUCGGAUCAAGGGAAGCUGUUUAUUGGCGGGAUAUCAUGGGAUACAUCAGAAGAUAAGCUGAAGGAGUAUUUUAGCAAGUAUGGAGAGGUUGUGCAGACCGUCAUCAUGCGUGAUAAGGUCACAGGGAGGCCUAGAGGUUUUGGGUUUGUUGUGUUCGCAGAUCCUUCCAUUCUCGAUAGGGUUCUUCAGGAUAAGCACACCAUCGAUGGAAGAACGGUGGAAGCUAAACGGGCUUUAUCAAGAGAGGAACAGCAGACCUCUUCUAGAUCUGGAAAUCCUAAUGCAGGCAGAAGCGUUGGAGGUGCUGGGAAUGUUAGGACCAAGAAGAUAUUUGUAGGAGGGUUGCCUCCCACAUUGACGGAAGAAGGUUUCCGUCAGUAUUUUGAGACCUAUGGUCAUGUAACUGAUGUAGUAGUUAUGUACGACCAGACUACACAGCGACCUCGUGGGUUUGGAUUUAUUUCCUUUGAUACUGAGGAGGCAGUUGAUAGAGUCCUACAUAAGACUUUCCAUGAGUUGAAUGGUAAACUUGUUGAGGUUAAGCGUGCCCUUCCAAAAGAUGCAAACCCUGGUGGUGGCAACCGGCAAAUGGGAGGUGGGAGUUUUCAGGGUUACGGUGGUUCUGGUCCCAAUACAAAUACAUAUGAUGGCCGAAUGGAAGCCACUAGGUAUAUGCAGCCUCAAACUGCUGGAGGUGGUUUUCCAGCAUAUGGUUCUUCUGGCUAUGGAGCACCUGGUUAUGGUUAUGGUGCAGCAGGUAAUGGUGUUGGCUAUGGUGGCUAUGGUGUUGGCUAUGGUGGUGCCAGUGCCGGGUAUGCUGGCGCUGCUGGGGCCUAUGGGAACCCGAAUGCCCCAAAUGCUGGUUAUGUAAGUGGCCCACCUGGUGCCCCUAGAAGCCCAUGGAGCAAUCAAGCUCCUUCAGGAUAUGGUUCUGCAGGCUAUGGUGCAAAUGCAGGUUAUGGGGCUGCGGCUCCUUGGAAUGCUCCAGGUGUUGGUGGUGCUACAGGUACUGGUAAUUCUGUUUCUGCACCAACAGGUCAGUCUCCAAGUGGGGCUCCCAGCUAUGGGAAUCAGGGUUAUGGGUAUGGUGGUUAUACUGGGGCUGAUGGAUCUUAUGCUAAUCCAGGUGGCUAUGGUGUGGUUGGAGGACGUUCAAGUGGUGCCCCAAAUAGCAUUGCUGGUGCUGGUGGGGAACAACAGGGAACAGGUGGUGGCUACAUGGGAAGUGGCUAUGGUGAUGCUAAUGGGAAUCCAGGGUAUCCAAAUGCAGCCUGGAGGUCUGAUGCCUCUCAGGCAGGAAGUUAUGGGGCUGCCCAAGCAAAUGGACCUCCAAGUGGACAAGUGGGUUAUGGUGGUGGGUAUGGCAGUGCUCAGUCCAGGCAGGCCCAACAGCAGUAAUCCAGAUGGUGCCAACUGUGUAUCAUUAAUCUCUAUGUGAACUGUCUAUCGACUUCUGCAGUCUUGUUGCUUUCUCAUUGCCCAGGAGUGAUGUUUCUUGCAGGACGACAGCGGAUUUUGUGACUGGAGGAGAGAGAUGCCCGUGUUCUAAAUUGGAAUCAGAAUUCUUUCCUGGUGGGCGCUCUCAAAGUUUUUUAAUGGGGGUGUGUCAUGUGUGGCGUGGAAAGGCAGGUAACGUGGGUUUGCUCGAUUGACCUGAUGCAUUCAACAAGCAAGACAGGGGAGGGGCCCAUUCAGGCAAACAAUGUUGAUCUUCGGAAGCCUUCGCAAUUCAUACCAUGAAAUCCUAAUCAAUCUUCAAUGCAGGUUGUGAUCCCAGCCAGUGCUGACUCUUGAAUUUAAGCAACUGGUGGUAUGUUGAUUCACUAGGUAGUUUGCCAUAUGUUUCCUUUUGUCAUUUGGACAAGGCCUUGAUUUUCUUGUCUCUGAAAUGUUUCUUUUUACAAACACCUCAAAGUCAUGGCUGAACAAUUUUCAGUGCAGUUCAAAGGUGUCUUUUGGGGGGUAA